CAUGGAGGAACUCUGAUGCAGCGAUGCCGCGUGAGGGAAGAAGGUUUUNGGAUUGUAAACCUCUGUCUUCAGGGNACGAAAAAAGACGGUACCUGAGGAGGAAGCUCCGGCUAACUACGUGCCAGCAGCCGCGGUAAUACGUAGGGAGCGAGCGUUGUCCGGAAUUACUGGGUGUAAAGGGAGCGUAGGCGGGAUCGCAAGUCAGAUGUGAAAACUAUGGGCUUAACCCAUAAACUGCAUUUGAAACUGUGGUUCUUGAGUGAAGUAGAGGUAAGCGGAAUUCCUAGUGUAGCGGUGAAAUGCGUAGAUAUUAGGAGGAACACCAGUGGCGAAGGCGGCUUACUGGACGGUAACUGACGUUGAGGCUCGAAAGUGUGGGGAGCAAACAGGAUUAGAUACCCUGGUAGUCCAAGGGCGAAUUC
rnacentral:rRNA from 1 species